AAAUCCGACUGAGUCUAAUUUCUCUCCAUAGUGAGUUGGCCCAUCAUUCUGAACCGUGUAAAACACACAACACAAUUCAGGUGGCCCAACAGCGACAAAACCCCUUCUACAUACAUCCAAAGAUUGAAAAAACGAUGCGAGGGACUUCAUAGUGGAAGAGAGGCUUGCAUCAAUUAACCCAGUGCUUCUCAAAUAGUGGGGAUGCAAUGCCAGGGGGAGAACGCGGUAGUGGCAGUUUUAGGCACAGGUAAUAUGGGGCAAUUGUCCGAUGUGCAAAUUUUACGUGUGGGGCGGUGGUGACAGCGGCUCAGUGCUUGGGGGGGGUUAUUGGGGUGCGAAACAUUUUCUUUUUCCUAGGGGGGGCCUGGCAAAAAACAAUUGAGAAGCACUGAAUUAACCAGAGAUCCACGACAGAAAAUAAAUCCAGAUGGGUGGAGGACCAAACGUCUUACUUGGAUAAAGCGGAAACCCAGAUUCGAAAAGGAGUCGCGACCACAGAGUUGCAAAAGACCUGGGAUAAAGGAGGAAAAUCGACCACCGAGAAAUCAUCAAGAAAAUGCAAAACGAAGGGGAGCCUAUAGGUAUACAUAAAGUCCUGCACAGGGCUUCCAAGAAAUGUAGUCGAAAAAACCAGGACUGUUACGACAGCUGAAAGGUAAACUGAUAAAGAACACUUUGAGUGUCACCUAACACCAAGAAGAUGCCACUGGGAGGGAUGGAAAGGCAGAACAGUGAGAACAUCUGCGAUAUCCGCCUUCCCCAGCCAUGCAUUGCGUCCGGUGCAAAAAACAAAUAAAACCGGAAGGAUCACGAAGAAUAAGGCUGCUGAUGCCCAGAAUGGAUGAACUGCGAGGCACAGAUAGGUCUUAUAUAAGUCGCGUCAAACCUGAAUGCUUCAGCGAGGCCACCCUUAGGGGCUGACUCGAAAACGGGGCACUGGAAAGAGCCCAUCACAUAGCCCCCACUAACCAGCCAGAAACCUCUAAACCAACAAGAGAGAGAGAACAACAAAAUAUCUGUUGGGUUGAGAAGACGAGGCCGCGUACAAAGCUAACACAUACAAGGGUGCUGAUGUUAGUUCCCCGACAGAGCGGGUCGGCUGUCCACACACCAGCCGGCCCAAAGGGAGGAAGGGUGGAGCAGAACCAGACGCUGAGCAUGCGGUGGUGAAGACACAAGGAUCGCCAUUUCUGGACCAAGCGAAUUAAAAUGAGAAAAGGAGCCACAGAUGCUGCAAAAAAAAGACCAAUUAUAGGUAAAAUGUCCGCAGAUGAGAGACAGGUCCAUUGAAAGACCAAUCCAAACGCUGGUUAAACUAUCGAAUGUACACAGCAGCUUUAACAGAAAGAAACAAAAACAGAGAGCCCACAUAACAAAGCCAGCUUCGUAUGAUGGCCAAGAAUCACAUCUGGCUCCUAAAUAACACACAGCAACAGAGAAAUACGCCAAAAGCCACAACAAAUUUAGCCAGUAUGAUAACCCGUCCAGGCGAGGACCGCCAGCCCUCACAACCAUGGAAAAGACCCCACAAUCCCCAAAACGAUAACCGGACGAUGCCGAACCACACAGCAGAAACCAAACCAGGUGCAGAUCUUUACGUUCAAGAGAAAGAACUGCAAUUCCCAGGGUCCUUAGGGGCCUGACGUCACCGAUGACCGGGUCGGCAGAGAACCAGGAAGAGCCUCGGAAAAGCCUCAACACAGAAAAAAAACACACAGGAAGAGGACAGAAUAGCACGCUCACCAUAGGGAUUCUGGUGAUCACGGCAUUCAAGAAGGCCCAGAUAUCUCCCAAUCGAGCUCCGCUGACAACCCGAACACUGCAGGACGUUCCCCCAGCAGAUGCACGCCGGAGACGUGACUGCAGCGCGCCAAAAGACGCACCAGGAGCCGGGACACUGCCUGCUGAACAGCCGCAAAAGGAGGGGCGGACGCCGGGAAGACGGACGCCCCCACAUCAGAAAAGGGGGGACCAUCGAGUCCGCAAAAGAACGUGGGGAAGCGGGAAAGAGAACAGCGAGCAUGGAGAACCGGUGACGAACGCAGAGCUCGCAUAAAUGGAAGAAGAGGAUUGGACCACACCUGGACUUAAGUAGGAUGCUGAACAGGGUGAUCUGCAUCCAGCUCAGAUCCGUACAUCAGCACUCGGUGGGAGCAUUGAUCCAGCUCUGAGAUCUUCAUGGGAAACCAAGGAACGUCUUCAUCGUCUGAGGAAACACAACGCAUGUAAAAAAUACACUUUGCUGGCCCCCCCUCCACCCCGUUCUCCACCUGAAGACAAUGCUUUGCCAUAGUUUGACCCUCAUCAUGAACGUCGAGAAACCACCGAGAUGGUGGUGGACUUCCACAGGCAUCCGCCUGCUGCCCCCUCAUUGGUAAUCACGCAGAAUAGGUACACUGAAGAAAUGUGCUGUUACAAGUACCUGGGUGUUCACCUCAGUAAUAAUCUGGAUUGAUUUGCUGUGCAGGAAGGCCCAAAGCCGCUUGUUCCUGCUGAGGAGACUGGGGUUCUUUGGAGAUCUGGGUCAUUCCUGAGGACCUUGGUUUAGUUUAAUUUCAUUCAUUUAUCUUCUUCUUCUCCCGUUUUUUCCCUUUCGGGGUCACGGGGCUGCCGGAGCCUAUCCCGGCCACGUGUGGGCAAAGGCAGGGGGCACCCUGGACAGGUCGCCAGUCUGUCGCAGGGUUAGUUUAAUUUAGUUUAUUUAUUUCAAACAUAUAAUAAAAACUUGUAAUUGAUAACAAUCGUGCAAUCUUUUUUAUUUAAGGAAAAAAAGUCUUAAUUUGACAGAACUUAAGAAAAUCUUUGAAAAGCUUACCCCUCAAUAUCCAUUCAGCUUUGACCCAAAAACUAAAAAGUCAAUUGCUGAUGAUUGAUCAAUCAAUCACCAUCAAUCACACAAAUACCAGGCAUUCAUUACAAUCAUCAGACAUCAACAACGAACAAUCACCACACAACUAUUAUCUGUUGAGUUUUAGUGUAAGGAGUGAAAACUAUUCUUUAUAUUUAUUUGUACAUUGAAAAAUGUUUGGACAUUCUUUUAGUUGUAAAUGUAAUUAUUUCCACAGUUUUCUCCAGUUACUGUCAUGCUAAAUAUUUUUAAUGUUGUUCUAGGUUUACUGUCCCCCUUUUAUUUUACUUCUCUCUCAAAGGAACCUAUUUAUAAAUGAAUUGGAAGCAAGUUAGGCCUUAUCUUAUUUUAAAAUCAAACUGUCUGGAAUGCUCUAAAGUUAAAUAAGUUUAGUAUUUUAGAUUGGACAAAAAGAGGAUGGUAAAUGGCGUAUACUUGUAAAACUCCUUUUUACCUUUCUUGAAGGCCCAAAGUGCUUUACACUCACAAACUCAUUCGCACAGUGGUGGCAGCUCCGUUGCUGAACACUGGCGCCAACUUUCCACCAAGUGCAAGAUGGGGUUCAGUGUCUUGCCCAAGGACACAUGGCAAGGCGGGAAACGAACCUGCAAUCUCCCGAUCAGAGGUCGACCGCCCUACCACUGCACUGCAUUUGGCACUGUGAAUUGUUCUGAUAGCUCUUUUUUUGUAGUACAUACAGACGAUGGACAGUAGAUGUAAAUGUUUCCCCAACUAGUAGUAUUAGUACAUGUGUCCAGAACACAUUUGACUUUGUUUAUGAUUAAAGUACUGUGACAAAUUCUGA